rnacentral:rRNA from 1 species
GAUGAACGCUAGCUACAGGCUUAACACAUGCAAGUCGAGGGGCAGCAUGGUCUUAGCUUGCUAAGACUGAUGGCGACCGGCGCACGGGUGAGUAACACGUAUCCAACCUGCCGUCUACUCUUGGACAGCCUUCUGAAAGGAAGAUUAAUACAAGAUGGCAUCAUGAGUCCGCAUGUUCACAUGAUUAAAGGUAUUCCGGUAGACGAUGGGGAUGCGUUCCAUUAGAUAGUAGGCGGGGUAACGGCCCACCUAGUCUUCGAUGGAUAGGGGUUCUGAGAGGAAGAUCCCCCACAUUGGAACUGAGACACGGUCCAAACUCCUACGGGAGGCAGCAGUGAGGAAUAUUGGUCAAUGGGCGAGAGCCUGAACCAGCCAAGUAGCGUGAAGGAUGACUGCCCUAUGGGUUGUAAACUUCUUUUAUAAAGGAAUAAAGUCGGGUAUGCAUACCCGUUUGCAUGUACUUUAUGAAUAAGGAUCGGCUAACUCCGUGCCAGCAGCCGCGGUAAUACGGAGGAUCCGAGCGUUAUCCGGAUUUAUUGGGUUUAAAGGGAGCGUAGAUGGAUGUUUAAGUCAGUUGUGAAAGUUUGCGGCUCAACCGUAAAAUUGCAAUUGAUACUGGAUAUCUUGAGUGCAGUUGAGGCAGGCGGAAUUCGUGGUGUAGCGGUGAAAUGCUUAGAUAUCACGAAGAACUCCGAUUGCGAAGGCAGCCUGCUAAGCUGCAACUGACAUGAGAGCUCGAAAGUGUGGGUAUCAAACAGGAUUAGAUACCCUGGUAGUCCACACGGUAAACGAUGAAUACUCGCUGUUUGCGAUAUACGGCAAGCGGCCAAGCGAAAGCGUUAAGUAUUCCACCUGGGGAGUACGCCGGCAACGGUGAAACUCAAAGGAAUUGACGGGGGCCCGCACAAGCGGAGGAACAUGUGGUUUAAUUCGAUGAUACGCGAGGAACCUUACCCGGGCUUAAAUUGCAGAUGAAUUACGGUGAAAGCCGUAAGCCGCAAGGCAUCUGUGAAGGUGCUGCAUGGUUGUCGUCAGCUCGUGCCGUGAGGUGUCGGCUUAAGUGCCAUAACGAGCGCAACCCUUGUUGUCAGUUACUAACAGGUUCCGCUGAGGACUCUGACAAGACUGCCAUCGUAAGAUGUGAGGAAGGUGGGGAUGACGUCAAAUCAGCACGGCCCUUACGUCCGGGGCUACACACGUGUUACAAUGGGGGGUACAGAGGGCCGCUACCACGCGAGUGGAUGCCAAUCCCCAAAACCUCUCUCAGUUCGGACUGGAGUCUGCAACCCGACUCCACGAAGCUGGAUUCGCUAGUAAUCGCGCAUCAGCCACGGCGCGGUGAAUACGUUCCCGGGCCUUGUACACACCGCCCGUCAAGCCAUGGGAGCCGGGGGUACCUGAAGUGCGUAACCGCGAGGAGCGCCCUAGGGUAAAACU